rnacentral:rRNA from 1 species
AGGGCACCACCAGGAGUGGAGCCUGCGGCUUAAUUUGACUCAACACGGGAAAACUCACCCGGCCCGGACACUGGAAGGAUUGACAGAUUGAGAGCUCUUUCUUGAUUCAGUGGGUGGUGGUGCAUGGCCGUUCUUAGUUGGUGGAGUGAUUUGUCUGGUUAAUUCCGAUAACGAACGAGACUCUAGCCUAUUAAAUAGAUCGUUGGCUUACAAACGCCGGCGAGACUUCUUAGAGGGACAGGCGGCGAUUCAGCCGCACGAAACAGAGCAAUAACAGGUCUGUGAUGCCCUUAGAUGUCCGGGGCCGCACGCGCGCUAUACUGAAGUGAUCAGCGUGCAUUUUGAAACCUACUCUGUCAAGAGUGGGGAACCCAAUGAACCUUCUUCGUGAUUGGGAUAGGGGAUUGUAAUUAUUCCCCUUGAACGAGGAAUUCCCAGUAAGCGCGAAUCAUAAGUUUGCGCUGAUUACGUCCCUGCCCUUUGUACACACCGCCCGUCGCUACUACCGAUUGAAUGUUU